UGCCCACAGCUGGGGCCCCCAUCCGACACGGGCUUGGCUCCCUGCACAGCGUGGAUGAGAUUCUCCAGUGGCUGGUGGAGAGCGGGCACAUGCAUGUGUUCAGGAUCAGCCACACGCAAGGAAGCACAAUGCUGCCUGCAUGUACAAGGGCCAUGCUCUCCGGCUGCCUCCAGCCAAAGGGCAGCAAGUUGGAAAAAUGCUCUCCUUACAGCUGGAUUUUGGUCAGGAGUCGUGUCAUGAGUUCCUCGAGAGCACAGCCCUCGGUCUGGAGAGGGUGGGUCCCAGGGGUCACUGGAGGGCGGGGGGAAGGCUCUGGUCUGCAAGGUGGCCUCUCAGACUCCAGCAACAAUUCUGCCUCCUCCAGUGGCUUCCUUGGGAUGACCAGGUCACCUCCCUGAGCCUCGGGCUUCUCAUCCUGGAAGGUGCUGGAAACGUGCCCCUGGACCCUGGUGGGCCGUUCUGAGGUUACACAAGACCCUGUUGGAAAGCGGGUUGCAAGCGGACCCUUGUGCAAAUCGCCGUUGAAGCCGUGCUUGUGUCAGCGAGAAGGACGAGCUGGUGUGACUUCCGGACAAAGUCACUGUCUGCACCCCCUCAUCAAAUGUUCUGUCCCCAGCUCACCCCACGGGUGGCUGCUCGCUCAUCGCAGGCCGCACCUGGGUCACAGCUUGGCAGUGGAAAUAUGCCUUUUCCACCAUGUGGUGGCGGUCCAGUCGGAUGGCCGCAGUCCAGACCUGUCCCCUACAUGUGAAUUCCUCAGGGUCCCAAGUCACCCAGAGCUUGAGCGUGUCCUUGCAGUGCCGUGACCCUCCAGUGCUUUUCUUCACUUCAUUAUGAAAACACAGAGGAGGAGGCAGAGGGCCCGAGUGCCCAGCCUCGACCAAGGACACGCAGUGACCCGGGAUCGGCCUCCAGACCUGCCCGCUCCCACCCGCCUCACGUGCCGCCAGCUCUGGAGUUUCUGUUUGGCCCACGGACCCUGCAUCCGUCUCCUGCCUCCAGAGCCUCCUGCCCUUUCCCUGCCUCGUGCUGCAGAGUGCAACCCCGCCUGCUCCCAGAGCACCGCGUAAAAUGUGUGCGCGCGUGAAAGUGUUUGAAAACCGCACAGAGCAGCACCACACGCGGGCGCGUUCCGGAAUCGGGGCAUGCUCGCCUCCUGCCGCACAUGAGCUCCUCCGUCCCCGUGAGAGACAGGUGGCCCCUCGAAGCCCCAAGCUGCCCUGUGGGAUGUGGCCCAGGUUGCCCACACGGCACCCGUUCCUUCUGCUCUCUCCUCCCUGCGUGUCCAGAGGGCUCAUCAGAAAAUGGAGGGAUGGGGGCAGAGGGGCCGAUGCAUAAAAAGAUCAGAGGGCGUCGUUGCACCCGCCGUCUGGACAUUACAUCCCUGGGGCCAGCGUUCGAGGCCAGAGGCCUGAAAGUGUGAAAGCAGCUUCAGAAGCUUGGCUGCAGAGAGGAGAAGGGGGCCAGUGGGGUGGGGACCACCGUGGGGAGCCACUGGGUGGCAGUGGGUCUGUCCAGACCCAGGCUGGAACCCUUGACCUCCCCUGCUCUCUUGGCUGACUUCCAGUGGGGGUUUCAGCCUGUCUUCUGCUCCCAGGGGUCUGG
ensembl:lncRNA